GGACCCGUAGUGCAGUGGUAGAGCAUCUGUCUUCCACUCAGAAGGUCCGAGGUUCAAUUCUUGGUGUCUCCA